rnacentral:lncRNA from 1 species
CCAAACCUAAAGGAGAUUAUCACAGAGAAAGCCAAUCCAAGCUGGUUGAUGCUGAGGCAGGAGAUGGAGAUGAAGGUAACAACAAUGAUGAUGAUGGAGAUGGUGGCUUUGGAGAAGGUGAAGAGGAGCUAUCUUCCGAAGAGGGAGAGGGCUAUGGCAAAAAUCCCACCAGCAACAAUGGCAAUUCCAAGAAAGGGACUGGAGAAGGGGCUGGUGGCGCAGGAGAAGAGAAUGGAGAAGAUGACGAGGAAGAAGAUGGUGAUGACCAUAAUGAGGAUGAUGACAAUGAUGACGAUGAUGACAACAACAAUGAAGAAGACAAUGAGGAUGAAGGUGGAGACGAGGAAGAGGAAGAAAUUCUAGAGGAAGAGAAGCCAGAGGAGGAUGAAGAGGAUGAAGAAGAAGAAGCCCUCCAGCCUCCAAAGAAGAGGAAGAAGUGAAAAAUGGAAAAGUAGGAAAUGC